UAGCUGUUAAUAGGACGUAAAACACAAACCAACCAAUCAAGAAACUGGUUAUCUGCCCAAACCACUUAACCCACCCAAAAUUCCACGUCAGCUCUACGACGGGUACACAAGAGACUGGAAGUAAAGGCUCAAUGGAUGUGCUACUUGAUUCCAUUCUGGAGGUUUUCAUCGUGUACCUCGCCAGUUAUCUCACAAGAGGAAAUGAUAACAUUGGGCCAUACCAGCGCCGUGUGUACUCGAAAUACGUCUUUAUACUUUCUGCCUUUUCGAAGAUGAUGGAUAUGCUCCAUACUUUUGGAUAUAUUAACAUAGAAGUAUCAGCGUUUGUCUUUAUAAUCGGACAUUCCUGCUUUCUUAAAAUAUUUGGCCAACCAGAGGUGAUGUGUGAUAAAUGGAAAUUGACUUUGUUUACACUUGCUAUCGUCCUGUCGCUCGCAUUCUCAACUACCUAUCCACUGCUUCUGGCGGCGGCAUUGAAAAUAUUUCCAAGGUGGUUGUGUUGAACAUUGAAGCUACAAUGAAACUUGAUACUAAGAAUCCCUCUCCUGUGAUGUGCUGAUCAAAAGAGGAAAAUAUUUUUAAUCAUACUUACCACAUUCUAUUUUUUUUACAAGUAAUAUAGACGAAUCAUAUAGACAACAUAGUCGGCUAAAAUGGCUCCCAUUGGGUGUCUGGAUUUUAAAUUAAAAAACAUCACCCAUUCUUGCGCCAUAAACCUUGUUCACGUUCUUCAUUAUUCU